rnacentral:rRNA from 1 species
CCUACGGGACGCAGCAGUAGGGAAUUUUCGUCAAUGGGCGCAAGCCUGAACGAGCGAUGCCGCGUGAGUGAAGAAGGCCUUCGGGUCGUAAAGCUCUGUUGCGGGGGAAAAAAGGCAGCAUCAGGAAAUGGGUGCUGACUGAUGGUGCCCCGCCAGAAAGUCACGGCUAACCACGUGCCAGCAGCCGCGGUAAUACGUAGGUGGCGCGCGUUAUCCGGCAUGAUUGGGCGUAAAGGGUGCGCAGGCGGUCCUGCAAGUCUGGAGUGAAAGGUACCGG